rnacentral:rRNA from 1 species
ACAUCCAGAGAAUUUAGCAGAGAUGCUUUAGUGCCUUCGGGAACUCUGAGACAGGUGCUGCAUGGCUGUCGUCAGCUCGUGUUGUGAAAUGUUGGGUUAAGUCCCGCAACGAGCGCAACCCUUAUCCUUUGUUGCCAGCACGUAAUGGUGGGAACUCAAAGGAGACUGCCGGUGAUAAACCGGAGGAAGGUGGGAUGACGUCAAGUCAUCAUGGCCCUUACGAGUAGGGCUACACACGUGCUACAAUGGCGCAUACAAAGAGAAGCGACCUCGCGAGAGCAAGCGGACCUCAUAAAGUGCGUCGUAGUCCGGAUUGGAGUCUGCAACUCGACUCCAUGAAGUCGGAAUCGCUAGUAAUCGUAAAUCAGAAUGUUACGGUGAAUACGUUCCCGGGCCUUGUACACACCGCCCGUCACACCAUGGGAGUGGGUUGCAAAAGAAGUAGAUAGCUUAACCUUCGGGAGGGCGUUUACCACUUUGUGAUUCAUGACUGGGGUGAAGUCGUAACAAGGUAGGCGUAGUGCU